UACGUAGGGGGCAAGCGUUGUCCGGAUUUAUUGGGCGUAAAGAGCGUGUAGGCGGCCACACAGGUCUGCUGUGAAAACUCGAGGCUCAAACCUCGAGCUGUCGGUGGAAACCGUGUGGCUAGAGUCCGGGAAGAGGAGAGUGGAAUUCCCGGUGUAGCGGUGAAAUGCGCAGAUAUCGGGAAGAACACCCGUGGCGAAGGCGGCUCUCUGGGACGGUACUGACGCUGAGACGCGAA
rnacentral:rRNA from 1 species